UACGUAGGUGGCGAGCGUUGUCCGGAUUUACUGGGCGUAAAGAGCGCGCAGGCGGUCGUUCAAGUCGCGUGUGAAAGCCCCCGGCUCAACUGGGGAGGGUCACGCGAUACUGAUCGACUCGAAGGCAGGAGAGGGAAGUGGAAUUCCCGGUGUAGUGGUGAAAUGCGUAGAUAUCGGGAGGAACACCAGUGGCGAAGGCGAUCACCUGGGGUUGUUCUGACGCUGAGGAGCGAAAGCUAGGGGAGCAAACGGG
rnacentral:rRNA from 1 species